AGGCAGGGCUCGGCGGGGCGGUGCGUUGCGCCCGCGCGUGCGCACCAGGUACCCCCUGCGCCUGCCCUUCUCUGUCGUGCCCGCGUGGGCGCGCCAGUGGCGGAACUUGGGCUUGAUUAAGGCGAUCCCUACGAGUGGAGGAGAAUAUGUAAAACCCACAAAGACUAAGGUGCUGAAGAGACAACAAAGAAUGAGAGAUGUUAGUGUGUUCUUUCUGGAAGAAGGAAAGAGGGGAAAGAAACUAUUGAGCAAGCCAUUAUAGAAGCAACGUGUAUCCCAAGCAUCAAGACUGGCACCUCCAAGCUCCUUCCCCCUGGAACUUUACUCAACAUUUCAGCAUCAGGCCAUUAUAGCUUUGAAUUGUGCCUUUGAGCAUCUCUGUUUUUGCAUCCAUUAACAAGAUGUGUCCUAAGAAAUCAUUUAUGAUGGCGAGAACCCUGCUGGCCAUCUUAUAUGCCCCUAAGGACGGCAUAGAAGGAGCUGACUGCUGCGGUUCCAGAAGAAGUGAUGGUAGGCCUAGAGAGCUCUCUGAGCUAGUCCAGCCAUCCAGUUGGCCUGAGGUAAGAAACUGGGGAGGUUGGAGAGAGGUAGAACUAAUAGCACAGCACAAUAAAACUCACAAGGAAGUGCUGGUUCAGAGUCCCCUAUCAGAGAAAGAAAAAUUGAGGCAAAAUGCAGUUUCUCUUCACUCCCCUGAUAAUAAAACAAAUUUACAGGAUCUCAUCAAAACUAUGGAAGAAAGAAAAGUUACGAAAACUUCCUGGUGUGCAAGGCAUAACAAAGAAAAUGUAUUGUACAGCACUUAUGUAUGUAAAUGUCCAUAA
ensembl:lncRNA